rnacentral:rRNA from 1 species
UACGAAGGGUGCAAGCGUUACUCGGAAUCACUGGGCGUAAAGCGUGCGUAGGCGGUUCGUUAAGUCUGCCGUGAAAGCCCUGGGCUCAACCUGGGAACUGCAGUGGAUACUGGCGGACUAGAGUGUGAUAGAGGAUGGUGGAAUUCCCGGUGUAGCGGUGAAAUGCGUAGAGAUCGGGAGGAACACCAGUGGCGAAGGCGGCCAUCUGGAUCAACACUGACGCUGAGGCACGAAAGCGUGGGGAGCAAACAGG